rnacentral:rRNA from 1 species
AGAGUUUGAUCCUGGCUCAGGAUGAACGCUAGCGGCAGGCUUAAUACAUGCAAGUCGAGGGGCAGCAUGAACUAGCAAUAGUUUGAUGGCGACCGGCAAACGGGUGCGGAACACGUACACAACCUUCCUUUAAGUGGGGAAUAGCCCAGAGAAAUUUGGAUUAAUACCCCGUAACACAACGAAGUGGCAUCACUUUGUUGUUAUAGUUUCGGCGCUUAAUGAUGGGUGUGCGUAUGAUUAGAUAGUUGGCGAGGUAACGGCUCACCAAGUCUACGAUCAUUAGCUGAUGUGAGAGCAUGAUCAGCCACACGGGCACUGAGACACGGGCCCGACUCCUACGGGAGGCAGCAGUAAGGAAUAUUGGUCAAUGGACGCAAGUCUGAACCAGCCAUGCCGCGUGAAGGAUUAAGGUCCUCUGGAUUGUAAACUUCUUUUAUAUGGGACGAAAAAAGGUCUUUCUAGACCCCUUGACGGUACCAUAUGAAUAAGCACCGGCUAACUCCGUGCCAGCAGCCGCGGUAAUACGGAGGGUGCAAGCGUUAUCCGGAUUCACCGGGUUUAAAGGGUGCGUAGGCGGGUAGGUAAGUCAGUGGUGAAAUCCUGGAGCUCAACUCCAGAACUGCCAUUGAUACUAUCUAUCUUGAAUAUUGUGGAGGUAAGCGGAAUAUGUCAUGUAGCGGUGAAAUGCUUAGAUAUGACAUAGAACACCCAUUGCGAAGGCAGCUUACUACGCAUAUAUUGACGCUGAGGCACGAAAGCGUGGGGAUCAAACAGGAUUAGAUACCCUGGUAGUCCACGCCCUAAACUAUGGAUACUCGACAUAUGCGAUACACUGUAUGUGUCUGAGCGAAAGCAUUAAGUAUCCCACCUGGGAAGUACGUUCGCAAGAAUGAAACUCAAAGGAAUUGGCGGGGGUCCG